UCCACAGGUGAACAUAGCUUUGAAAUAAGGGCUAAAUGCAGCCAGGACCAGUCUGUGGCAAGGAAAUUUCUCUCCUUCUGCUGAGUUGCAGAAAAAGAGGGAUGCAAGUGGGGAAGGAUGACAAGGAGUUUCAACUGUAUAAAUGUUUAAUUUCUCCAGCUGUUUGAUGCUUGCCUCUCCUGUCAAUGAUGAGCACACUGCGGGUUGGGAGAAGAACAAUCACCAAAAAUGCAGAGUGGGGAGCGGGCCUGAGUGUUGGACCUCUCCUUAAACAAACCUUCCUGCAGCCUCCAGGUCACCAUCCUUGUCACCUCUACUGCCAGAGACAUCGAGUGCCUUGAAGUCCUGGGCUUUCCGGGGAUUCUGUGGGCUUCCAGGACUGUGCUGCCGUGCUUCCUCUCCUUUAAAGCAAGUCUUCUAUCAUCACCAGCGAGGGGCCAUGGAAGGAGCAGACUAGACUGCUCAAUCUGCUGUCUCCACCUGGCGGACCUACCAUGUGAUUCACUUACAGACAGUUGGUUUGUUUUUGUUUUUUGUUUCUCUUUUUGACACUGAGUUUCGCUCUUGUUGCCCAAGCCGGAGUGCAGUGGCUCGAUCUCGGCUCACCACAACCUCUACCUCCCGGGUUCAAGUGAUUCUCCUGCCUCAGCCACCCGAGUAGGUGGGAUUACAGGAACCCACCACCACACCUGGCUGAUUUUCUACUUUUAGUAAAGAUGGGGUUUCUCUAUGUUGAUCAGGCUGGUCUGAAACUACCGACUUCAGGACCGCCUGCCUCGGCCUUCCAAAGUGCGGGGAUUACUGGCAUGAGCCACUGCCCCUGGUCAAGAAUUGGUUUUUAAUGCUUCCUUCCUCCAUACAACAGAAUUCUUUUCAAUAAUGAUCAUUAAACAAAAGGAAUAAUAAUAAUGUCCAGAAAAGAACUGCUGUAGAUAGUGAAAAUUUUUUUAUUGAACUUUGUAUAUGUAAUCAUGCUGGCACAUAUGUUAAAAAAAGGUAAAAAGUCAUGGAUUAAUUUUUUUAAUCAUAAUUUUUAAAGGGGAUUAUUUUACUGCAGUUCACACACUGUUUCAUUGUUUUACAUUUUAAACAGAAAUAGCUGGGCGGAUCACCUGAGGCCAGGAGUUUGAGACUAGCCUGGCCAACAUGGUGAAACCCCGUCUCUAUGAAAAAUACAAAAAUUAGCCAGGCGUGGUGGCACAUAUCUGUAGUCCCAGCUACUUGGGAGGCUGAGGAGAAGAAUCGCUUGAACCGGGGAGGCAGAGGUUGCAAUGAGCUGAGAUCGCACCACUGCACUCCAGCCUGGGUGACAG
rnacentral:lncRNA from 1 species